CCAAGAGAAGAAGGCCGAAGAAAGAGAAACUUGAGCUCAUAUAGCAUGCUUCCACCAGAACACAAUAUGCAUUUAUUCCAUAAGAUGAAAGAACUAGGAGUAUUCCUCAAAAAUAAAAGACUUAGGAGUAUUUUAUUCUCUAAAAUUUUGAGAUCCUAUAAAGAAUCAUUAGAUGGAGUAUUUAAAAAAAAAAAAUUGAAUUUUGAGUUUCUAAAGACUUAGAUCUAAAUACUAAAAAAAUUGGACAGUCUUCAUUCAGUCUAAGGACAUUAUUUUCUUCGAGUCAGAUAGCAUGCACCAGUGGGAGCAUAAUAGCAUGUAACGUGUUCGCC
rnacentral:lncRNA from 1 species